rnacentral:rRNA from 1 species
UACAGAGGGUGCGAGCGUUACUCGGAAUUACUGGGCGUAAAGCGCGCGUAGGCGGCUUUGCAAGUCGGGUGUGAAAUCCCCAGGCUUAACCUGGGAACUGCAUUCGAGACUGCAUUGCUAGAGUAUGGGAGAGGGAAGUGGAAUUUCCGGUGUAGCGGUGAAAUGCGUAGAUAUCGGAAGGAACAUCAGUGGCGAAAGCGACUUCCUGGACCAAUACUGACGCUCAGGUGCGAAAGCGUGGGGAGCAAACAGG